UUCAUUCUAAAGGUAGCAUUUAGUUUAUUUUUCUCUUGUGAAUGCUGCUUAUCUGAUGCCAAUAAGUUUAUCAUUUCCCUUGUGCAUACAUGCACUUGUGCACACAUACACAGAGCUGUGGUUUAACAUUGUGAUAUGUAAUCUUUAGCAGCAUCUACACUUGUGAAACUGGCUACACUGCUCUUGCUCUAUUUAAAAGCUCUUUAGUUAAUCAACAGCAAGCAAAGCAAUGGAAAAUGGUUCCAUGGAGUCAAACAGUACAAUCUUCGAUGUGAAUACUCUGUUUGCAUCUGCUUUUGGGUUGACAGUGGUAGUUGGAUUACCCCUGAACAGCAUUUCGCUAUGGGUGUUCUGCAUAAGAAUGAAACUACAAACUGCUCCUGUCAUUUAUUUGACUAAUCUGGCAAUAUCAGAUCUGCUCUUCAUUCUGUCAUUACCUUUCAGAGUACAUUACUUUAUAACUACUCGAUGGCUUUUUGGAAAUCUUAUUUGCACUCUAUCUGAAACAAUAUUUUCAGUGAAUUUUUAUACAAGUACUUUAUUUAUUACAUUAAUAAGCAUUGAUCGCUAUCUAGCUAUAGUUCAUCCUUUACAGUCAAAUUUUCUUAGAAGUCCGAAAGUGGCCAGCAUUGUCAGUGCUGUUGUUUGGUUUAUUAUCAUUUUGAUGAGUUUUCCAAUUGCUUUUCAAUAUCAACAAAAGGAUCAUAUGAACAGUACGGUAUGUUAUGAAGGAUAUUCAGCUGAAACUUGGAAAUCUGCUUUUAAUCUCAUAUUACUGAUAACAAUGCUUGGAUUUGCAGUGCCUUUUGUAAUCACUGUCACUUGCUUUUUUGCUGUUGCCAGAGUUAUGUUCCGAAUCAGAAAAGAAAAUCAGACAUUUAAAAGAUACAAAAUUGUACCAUUGUUUCUACUAAACAUCGGGGUCUUCACUGUGUGCUUUUUACCUUUUAAUGUUACUUUGGUAGUGUAUGGACUGUACAAAGUAAAUGAUAUCUCAGUGAAUGGAAUAUAUCUGGUUCAUGUCAUUACCAUGUGCUUGGCCAGCAUCAGCAGCUGUGUGGAUCCCAUUGUUUACCAUCUUACUAGCAUGGCUUUCAAAAUCGAUGCAAUGAAGAAGGUAAAGGUGACCGUCAAUCCAAUGGAUUUGAUAAAAACAGGACCUCAUGCUAACAAAGAAAGCCUUGUACUCGCAUCAGCAGCUGUGUGGAUCCCAUUGUUUACCAUCUUACUAGCAUGGCUUUCAAAAUCGAUGCAAUGAAGAAGGUAAAGGUGACCGUCAAUCCAAUGGAUUUGAUAAAAACAGGACCUCAUGCUAACAAAGAAAGCCUUGUACUCGAGACACAACACAGAACAAGACCUCCUGGUCCAGCAACCCAUGCCAGCUAGCAACUCUCCAAUGUAACUCCUAAUCUAAUCACAGGACAACUUACAAUGACCAAUUAACCUACAUCUUUGGACUUUGAGAGGAAACCAACACACUCAAUGAAAGGCAACCCGGACACACUGGAAGAACGUACAACUUUCUUAGAGAGGACACCAAACUUGAACUCCAAGCUCUGAUGACCUGUGCUGUAAUAGCAUUGCACUGACUGUUUCGCUACCACGAUGCCCUAUUUCACUCUGGUCGUAAAUGGGAGUUAAUCUUCAGUUUGUAAAAUGUAAAUGGCAAGCAGUAAUCAGUAUGAAGUUUUUAAACAGCUUUGCAAAACAAGCUCCAUUUAUAGCUCAGACUUACUUGCUCAUACCACAAGGCUCAAGAGAUGCAUUAUAAGACAAUGGGUUAUUUACUUCAGCUUGCUUCAAAAUAUGCAAGCUGACUAAGUUGCUUAGUUCAAGAAAACUUGCAGACCAGAUGGAUAAUACUAUUUAGCAUAUUAAAUAACUGAUCUAUUAUUGUUGUGAACUUAAGGAAAUUAGCUUCAUUGCAUUUAUUAUGGAUAGCUGAGAAAUAUGUUCCAAAAUGCUUUUAGAUUUUGCAAACAGGGUAUCUGAGGAAAUAUCAUAUGUGUGAAGCCACUUAAAUGGAGAGAAAGGGUAUAAAUGUAGAGACAAUUCAGGUUUAUUAGGAAUGGGGUUAGGAACGUCAAGAAACAUGGAAGAAACACAAGGUGAACUAGAGACUAUUCCCCUGUCUUCCAUUGCUGUGAUGCAUGGUUUGUUUGUCCACAUCACUGUUAUGCCUUGGUUUAUAGGAAUUCAACCGGUGUUUUGGAAAUCCUGUGUCCUUUUUUUUUAGAAAUGCUUUGUGUUUUAGAAAUGCUUUUUGUUUUGGAACUGGUUUGUAAUUUGGAACUGUGUAAGUUAAUCUACUGUUAGUUUUAAAUGUUUUUAAGACAGUGGUUUAGAUUUAAAAGUGUUUCACUGAAAAUAAAUGAACCAUGUUUUAAACUACUUUUUUAGCUGGAAAUACCUUCUCCUUGAUAGGGAGAGGGGGCCCUGCUCGAACAGUGGAUUUUGCCAGCUAACCUCGCCAUGGAGAAUAUACAGAGAAUCAUAGUAGUCUUUGAAAAUAGGGUAGUUACAGUAUAACAUUCUAUGUUCAAAUAAAUCUAUUAUCAAAUACAUAUAUGUCACCAUAUACAACCCUGACAUUCAUAUUCUUGUGGGAGUACUCAAUAAAUCCAUUAUAGAAUAAUAAUCAAAGUAGAAUCAGUGAAAGACCAAUUUGGGCAUUCAACCAAUGUGCGAGAGAGAACAAACUGCAAAUUAAAAAAAAGAAAUAAUAAAAAUAAUAAGUAAAUAAGCAAUAAAUAGCGAGACCAUGAGAUGAAGAGUCCUUGUAAGUGAGUCCAUAGGUUGUGGGAACAUUUCAUGAUGGGGCAAGUGAAGUUGAGUGAGGUUUCAGUGAUGGGGCAAGUGAAGUUGAGUGAGGUUUCAGUGAUGGGGCAAGUGAAGUUGAGUGAGGUUAUCCCCUUUGGUUCAAGAGCCUAAUAGGUUGAGGAUCAUGAACCUUGUGGUGUGUCCUGAGGUUCCUGUAACCUUUUCCUGAUGGCAGCAAUGAGAAGGGUGACCAGGGUGCUGGGAAUCCCUGAUUAUGGAUGCUGUUUUCCUGUGACAACACAUUCGUGUCGAUGUGCUCAAUGGUGGGGAGGGUUUUAUCUGUGAUGCAUGGGGAAGUAUCCGAGAACUUCUGUACGAUUUUCCAUUCUAGGACACUGGUGUUUUCAUACCAGGCCAUGAUGCAGCCAGUCAAUAUACUCUCCACCAUCCAUCUGUAUAAGAUUGUCAAAGUUUUAGAAGUCAUAAACACAAAAUACUCUGCAGAUGCUGGGGUCAAAGCAACACUCACAACACGCUGGAGGAACUCAGCAGGUCGGGCAGCAUCUGUGGAAAAGAUCGGUCGACGUUUUGGGCCAGAACCCUUCGUCAGG